CCGCGGCUGGAGUAGCCGCGAACGCGCCUGGGCCUCUGUGCCCCGCCCUCCCUGCUUCCGGCUACUUGGGGGAACGUUCUGGAAGUUUGGGAGGCGACGUGGCCCCAGGGACCCGCUGAUCUGGUUUUUUUUCUCUUUUAUUCCUGACUAGACUCUGCUGCAACUCAUGGAACUCAACCCCAUAUACUUCUUAUAGUUUAAAACAACUUUGCAUCUAAUUGGCCUUCUUUUAGGCAAGAAUAAGCAUUUGGCAACUAUUUCCAGAGUUCUUCAGGGAUGAUUCUGAAGUAUCAUAUAUGGAGUACCAGAUUGUGGCACCAUUAGAAGAAGCUGGGUUGAUCCAGACACAGACAGAUGGCUGAAAAUGGCAGAAAAGAAAAAAUAAAAUGGACAACCACUAUUAUUAUUAGCUCAUCUCUUAAGGACUUGCAUUUUUAUUGAUGGAUGUUAAAGAAUGCUUUAUAUCAGCUGAAGAAAUAUUUCUAGCCAAAAUUGAGAAGUUUAUUAAUAUUCACCAAAAGAGUUUUUUGGUUCUGUCUGCUGCCCUCCAUGGGCCUGAGGAAUGGAAACUGAUGUUUAGGAUUCAGCAGAGAUUCCUGGGUAGUAAUUUACGGAUACUUCCAGUACACAACACAGUAAAUGCUAUUAAUCUUAUGUGCACUAUAGCUAAGACUGCCUCCAAACCAUACAGAGACAGCAUUUGCUAUAGAAUGAUAACAACUGAGGCUUACAUCAUUGAGCAAAGUCCUGUUUGGAAGACACUUCAAAAGUUAAAACUGAGUAGUGAUUCAUUUAAUCCAAAUUAGAGUAUCAAUUACAAAAGUUCUUUUGCAAGAAUGUUAA